UAGGACAUUACUGCUGCUGUGAGUGAUGCCUGCAAGAAGCCACACAACCAUUCAAGCACAUUGGCAAACCUGCAUGAGUGAGCAAGUUACUCCGUGGAAUCACCCUUGAGCAAUGAGGGACAGGCACAGGAUUUCUCCUUUUAACAGGAAAACAGUUGGAGUUUAAGGAUUGUUCUGCAACUUGCUUUCCUUUGGUUUGUAUCUACUCACAGAAUGGAAGUUUGAAAAGUUCUGAGAGACACCUUAAUUUUUUCUUCAAAUCAUGAUUUGUGGUAUGCUUGCAUGGUUGUGUGAUUCAGGAAUAGCUGUCCUCUGUUGAUCUUGCUGUCGGAUAUAUCAACCAUGAAAAAUAACUGCCUCGGCCAAGUAGCCAAAACAGUUUUUGAAAUAUUUCCAUCGGCCUCAAUCAUUGAAACAGCCUCUGUCUCCCUCUAUAGGCCAUGUAUCUCA
rnacentral:lncRNA from 10 species